rnacentral:misc_RNA from 1 species
CAACCCUCAAGCACGGCUUGUGUUAUGGGCCCUCGUCCCGCUAUUUUAGUGGACGUGCCCGAAAUGCAGUGAUCGCCGCCGCGACUCCGGCGCCCGAGCGAAUGGGAAUUUAACCACCGCUCAGUGGGCCCGGCCGGUGGCUUCGGUCUCAAACCACAAUUUUCUAA